UUUGGGCUUUUUCUCUAAUGAAAGUUAUAAAACAAAUUGUAAUUUUAGGUACUUCACAAGUCAGAGGUCAAGUCUUAAAAUAUCUUUCGUAAUGUUUUCAAAUAAAUGUUUUCAAUUUUUGCACUGGGAUACUGAGAUUUGAACCAGUCCAAGGUAAAAAGGUUGAUAACGUUGCACAAGACUGGAACUUGCAUAGUAGUUUAAUGUUCAGUUCAAUGUACAAUUAGUUUCUCUUUACAUGCCUAUACUCCCAAGAGAUAAAUUCAGAACCUUGCUUCUCCAACUCUCUCUCGCAGUAGAACUACAUCUACCACCAAGCAGGCUCUUCGAGCUUCAGUCCGGGGCUUUCGUUCUUCUCUCUCAGAACCCAGCUCAAGUCCUCAGGUGUGAAAACACAGAGCCAGCAAAGCUUCGGAGAGAGGAUGCAUGAGUUUCCUAAAUAUUUCAAUGUCUUAUUUUUUCGUCAAGAACCAACGUGUUAGUUACUCGAGGAAUGCAACACUUAUCACAUAUAUUUGUAUUAUUAUUUCUACCGCUUUUCUAAUAGAGGUUUGUAUUAUUUUGGAAAGGCUCCAUCUCAGCUCAAUAAUCUUAAACCUCUUGGAAAGGUUUCUCUUGUUAA